UACAGAGGGUGCAAGCGUUAAUCGGAAUUACUGGGCGUAAAGCGCGCGUAGGUGGUUUGUUAAGUUGGAUGUGAAAUCCCCGGGCUCAACCUGGGAACUGCAUUCAAACUGACAAGCUAGAGUAUGGUAGAGGGUGGUGGAAUUUCCUGUGUAGCGGUGAAAUGCGUAGAUAUAGGAAGGAACACCAGUGGCGAAGGCGACCACCUGGACUGAUACUGACACUGGAGGUGCGAAAGCGUGGGAGCAAACGGG
rnacentral:rRNA from 1 species